UCUGGGAUAGCUCAGUUGGUAGUAGCAUUCGGCUGUUAACCGAAAGGUCAUGGGUUCAAGCCCCAUUCCCAGAGCCA
rnacentral:tRNA from 1 species